GUAGGUGGCAAGCGUUGUCCGGAAUUAUUGGGCGUAAAGCGCGCGCAGGCGGUUCUUUAAGUCUGAUGUGAAAGCCCACGGCUCAACCGUGGAGGGUCAUUGGAAACUGGAGAACUUGAGUACAGAAGAGGAAAGCGGAAUUCCACGUGUAGCGGUGAAAUGCGUAGAGAUGUGGAGGAACACCAGUGGCGAAGGCGGCUUUCUGGUCUGUAACUGACGCUGAGGCGCGAAAGCGUGGGGAGCAAACAGGGUUAGAUACCCUGGUAGUCCACGCCGUAAACGAUGAGUGCUAAGUGUUAGGGGGUUUCCGCCCCCUUAGUGCUGCAGCUAACGCAUUAAGCACUCCGCCUGGGGAUACGGCCGCAAGGCUG
rnacentral:rRNA from 1 species